AGGACUUAGCUAACUCUGUGAACAGAUAUCUGAAUGCCUUCAAUGUUCACAGUGGCUAAGUUCCGC
rnacentral:pre_miRNA from 1 species